UUUACACAUGGCUGCCUGCUCAGAAAAUAUUUUCCAGAUUUACAUGUUUACAGCAUUGAUAUGUGAAGCUGGAGAGCCUUCCUUCUCGACUAUGGCACAAGUAUUCACAGAUUGCACACUAACUUUAUGAAAUCUGGAAAUGGAUCAUUUACAGCUUUCAGACAAAUCAAAGUGCCCUUUGAUCUUGACUCCAAGUUUCCUUGAGAGCAACAAAUAAAAAUAACUUUUUUUGUGUGCUUUUCCCUAAAUAUGGUCACUAUUAAUGUAGCUGUUAUAUCUCUCUGGGAAUGUAUGCACCACAUUUAAUCUGUUUUUGUUUUGAAGUGCUCCUCCUCUGAGGAGAAAUAUUAAUUUGGCAAAUGUAGGCACCAGAGAGUGCACUGUAUGAAUGUGCAGUGCAUUUGUAGGGACUGUACAAACUCAGCAAGCUCUGUGAAAAUGUGUAGUUACUUUGAUGCAAAUUAAUUUAUCCUAUAAACUUCAAUUACAUUUCUGAUUCCUACAUAACCACUAAGCACUUUUGGUGGUUAUAAACAUUUUUAAACGUUGCAUUAAAAAUGUAUGCUGUUGGAAGUGUGAAAAAUCUGCAACAAUUAAG
rnacentral:lncRNA from 1 species